rnacentral:lncRNA from 1 species
GUGUGGAUCCAGAGACCAGAGGCCAAAGAGAUGUGAUAAACUAUGUCAGUGACUGGAGCCGACCCUGGUCAGUCCCUGGGGCAGGCAUGGCAGCAAGAGGCUGGUUUCCACAUGUGCCCAGAGUUUGCUUCAUGGAAAGGCCAGCUCUGCGCAAAGGUCCAGGGGGGACCAGUCACGAAGGUGUGAAGAGGCCUGAGUGUUUGUCUUCCAUUCAGCUGAGAAAGGCAGAACGCCGCCACACUGCUGCACAGACGGCACCUUCUACACCUUUACACUCCUCACACUGAGCUCCAGGGUCCGGACAGCUGUGCACCUGCCACCUUUAGCAAAGCGAAGGCCAGGGGCCCCUGCUGGCCUUCUGCAAUGGGCAUAUAUUUUGUCUACCCAGCAUUCCUUUCCUUUUUGAGAAUAACUCUUCAGGUCAAAGUAGUCACGCCCAGUCUUCCUGGGCAAGAGAAACAGCCCCUCCUUCCCCUUCUUCCUGGGUGAAUGUGAUGAGGAUGACCAAUUAGAAUAGCCCCACCCCCAAGGCAGGGUAAUUGGCUCAGGGCUGGGCAUGUGACCCAGACCCAGCCAUACUGAGUCCUCCUGGGGUCUUGCCAGAGUUCCUGUGCAAUAAACCCACUGUCUGGGACGGUAAGCACGGCACUAGCUCACGAUGGCCAGUAGCCACCUGGCUCCCCCUUGAAACGGCCUGUCUGCCGGUGCAGCUAAACAGAGCUGAGAGAUGAAGGCACAGCAUGAGCCCUGAUGUGCGCUUUCUGCUCCUGCUCCUGCUCCUGCCCCUUCGGAGGCCUGUGCCAGUGGCAGCUGGGCCCGGAGACACCAGGCCGGCACUGCUCUCUUUCGAGGCACCCGUGUUUGUGCCGACGCUGACUCCCGGUUGUCUGCAGCAGCCACGUGGCCGAAAUGGAGCCUCUCCACGGGGGCUCCUUCCCCAGCCCCUGGAUGGCACAGCAGCCUCUCCUGUCUGUCACCACGUGUGACCUGCUCCCUUAGUCUUCAGCCGCUCAUCCACGUCUGCAGGGGCAUCUAACUCUGUCCCAGGGUAUCCCAGACCCUGGCUCACGCCCCAGGCUCUCCAUUCAGGCUCCAUCGUCCACCUCAGACCAUCUCGGGUUUGCUGGUCUUCUGGACUAGCGCAGCCAGAAAGAACCCAGGAAGGAAGCCUCACGUCUGACACAAGAACCUUCGGUGCUAACCCGAGGGCGGUAUGUGCAUCCUCAGCACCUGCCCAUCCGGCACCAUCCUCUGAUCCAGGGACUGUGAGCAACAGGGCCCCGUGGCCAGGACAUCUCUCACCCUCCAGUUAAAAUCUCGCCAGUUGAGUCUGCCCAUGAAAGUAGGCGCUGAACUGCCCAAUAAAUCCACAAGUAAGAGUUGCAAGAAGGAGCCAAAAAGGGCUGAGCUGAAUGACUCAUAUAUGAAAUAAUUUGAUAAUUAAUAUAAAUAGGAAAUUUAAAGUCUCCAGCUGAGUGACAGAAAACACCUUAAAAAGCUCAAGAGAGAGGAAAGGAAGAAAAUAAACCUAUAAUUGCAAAAUAAAAGCAUUGAAAGAAGCCGUGCUCAAGGUCUGCCUCUGCCUUUGCUCCUGCUAUCCCCAGGGCCCCAGGUGCCCCUCCCUCCACCUCAUCCUUCUGGACCCAGCAAAUGUCCUCCACCAGGAGGCCUUUCUGGACCUCCUCAUCCUCCUGGAAGGAGCCUCUCCCACCCCGAAGUCCUUUAACUAUUUACUUGUCCCUCUCCUUCGUACUGAGCUUAUGCUGUAUUUGUUUAUGUGCUUAUCUUCUACUGGGCUCAUCUCUGUAACCUUUUUAUUCUUUUAUUCAUUCAUUCCACAAAUACUAAUUGAGCACCUACUAUGUGCCAGACCCCAUGCUAGGACUGGGGACACAAUGAUGAGCAAGACAGACACUGUCCCUG